GUCCGCUGCCACUCCGGUUGCCAGAUAAUGUAAUGAGCCACCACAGGCGGCGUCAUGCUGCGUUCAUACACACCUCGGAAAUGUUAAGUUUCCAAACUGAUGAGAUGUAAGGACAAUGGUGCGUUUAGGACUAGUCAAGACUGAAGCCAUCAAACAAGAUUUGCCUAUCUGAACGGAUAUGCGCAUUUCACAGACUACAUAAACAUCACAGUGGAUCUGCCCCACCACCAUCUCCUCAGGGCUUUCCUCACACCGCAGAAGACUGUAGGAUCAAUAGAGAUAAGGCUGCCAAACUUUCUGUAUGCAUCCAGCGUACCGACCACAACAGGUAUCUGCUGCCAGCUUCCUUACAAUGUCUGUCCGUUCCUGCGGUACACGGUGUCCUCAGGGUACGACUGCUCAGCCAGCUCGAGAAGUACACCAAGAAACACAAACACAUCAUGUGACAAAGCUCGACUAUCUGGGCCACUUCUAUUGACACUGUGCUGCUGUUGUGGGAAUUUCUGCGGCUCUCCUUUUGUUGUUGCAGACCUGCUCAGGCUGAAUUUAUAAUAAUCACCUCAGAAUGUCAGUUUACCACCCACAGAGACCUUGUAGAGGUUCAAACCAGGGAGAUAAUAGUGCAGGCCAUCUGUUGCUUCUGAAGGAGUGCUCAAAAGUUUUUCCUGAUUCCAAUUGCUCCGUGGGGUCUGCUACAUGCAACAAAGGAGGCAGGGGAGCAAGCACCUUCAGCAUGAACUCACAGAACAGGUGCAGAAACUGAUGUAGGAACAAAGGUUGCCACUCGGACAGUUCCAUACACCAAGUUAGUGCCAUGGCUUGUAUUUGCGCAGUAUUAACCCCAGAGGAUACAUAAAGGGACAAGAGUAGACAUAGUUUACUGCUCCACACAGACCUCAAGUUGCUUGUUAAAGGUAUUUCUGAAGGGUUCAAAUAAAAGCUUCUCCAGUGAGAAUGAAGCAAGCCGACUACUCGUCUUAUAUGACAUAAAGAAAGGAGUGUGGGAGGCUUAUUUCAGGUGCUUUGGGAAAAGAUAAGAUGAUUUAGCUUAGAUACAGGUGCCACAAAAUGGAUGUUACCAGCUCCUAUAGGUGCAGAUAUUCCAGUGGGACCAACCUGCUUUUUAGAUAAUCAAUUUUAAUAGUUUUACUGAUCUACUGCAUUUCCAGUUCUUAGUCCAGAUCCAAAAUCCUUCUAUUAUGAAGCAAGUUCACUUAAAAGAAUUGCAGAAAGUCAUUCAUUGCAAAUAUAAGUAGUUAAUUUUCAAUGCAUUAUGUAUUAUUUCAACAUUUGCAUCAGUAAAAGACAGAUUUAUCACUAUUUUGUAAACAUGGUAUAUAAUCAAUUAUAAGCCCUUAUGUGGUUAUAAUAUAAAAUCCAUUAGAAAUUCUUUUUUUUCUAGCAAAUGCAAAAAGUAUACAACAAAAUCCUAAAAUAUAACUAAGAGUGCACAUUUAGACUUCAAUGGAAUUAGUUAUACAGUUGUAGUAGAUUGAAAAAUCUGGCAUCCCCUAAAGGUUAUUUGCAAAACAUGCUCCACGCUGACUUUUUCUACCAUUGUAGUUACUAGCUACUAGCUAAUAAUUUAUCUGACAUACAGCUACUGGUAUUCAGUUUUUUCCUCCCUGUUAUUUUGCUGUAUUCACCAUGUCCAGAGGGCGUUACCAGAAUGAAAAGCCAGUUUGGCCUCCUAGUAUUUGCAGGCUUGUUCAUGUAGACAGUGGGUGUCUAACAGGAUUUCUGCAAUGAAUACAGACCCCAAAAUUACAAAAUUUCAAUCAUAUUUUUAUUGGAAAAUUAUUGAAAACAAUGUAAGAAUUAAAAACAUAGGCAUUGGAUAGAAUAUGGCUAGUACUCAAGCUGAAACUGUGUCCUUACAGAGUGCUUUAAAUACCAAGCGUAGAGAUACCUACAUAGGAUAGCUAAAAUAAUACAUAUCACACUUUUACUAAAUUGACUUUAUAAAAUGUCACUGUACAAUAAAGGUUCAACGAGUGGCAAAUCUAUACAAACAUACUGUGAAGAAACCAUUUAGUAGAACUAUCAAGACAAAUUAAAAUAUAACAAAAUAAAAUAAAUUCUUUUUUUCCCCCCGAUAUCUGAAGAUUAUUGAAAGCCUCCAGAAGUCUAAACAUGACUUGUAAAAAGUAAUACAUCAACAGGAAUUCAUAUAUUACGGAACCUCAAAAAAUAUAUCCGGUAAAUGUGAGUUUAUAAAGGGAGGCUACAACCCUCACAGCCACCAAAUGAUAGAAAUUCCAGAAGUAUUGAAAGUUUGCUGAACAGAGGCAUCUUCUGCACGUAGUGGAUUGUGCACAAUGACAAAACAAUGUACACUGCCAAUUUGUAGAAUGAAACAUUUCAAAUUAUUAUUCUGUGAAAAUAAAUUACAAGAAGUCUCUAUUUUUUUUU